GAAUGUUACUUGUGUACUGAAAAUGGAAAGAAAAUACUACAGGAUAAAUAUAGAUUUGUAUGUCUUCUGCUAGUAUUAUGGUACUUUGGAAAAUGUUGGAAGGAUGAAGCCUGAGAAUGAGCCUGAAGAUGAAGAAAGCUUAUGGGAAUAUGUCAACAAAUCUUCCUCUGUUUCCUGGAGAACGCUUUCUGCUUUUGUUUAAGGACCCAAAGUGACAAGGUUUAAGCAGGUCAACAUCCUUGCUUUUUGUGCGCAGUCUUAUCCUGCCAGCACUUGAUGUGUUUAUAUGCAUGUUCUUCUUGGAAGGCCGGGGACACUUUGUUCUGACUGAGAAGUGAUGUGGAGGGAUGCCAUGCUCAAAGCCUGUUUUCAUAUCUCCUAUCAACAUAGAAAUGGUGUGACUGCUGGAAUCUUCUGACACCAACAUACAGUUCAGAGCAGUGGCUCACAUGACCACCGUACAAAAGGGAAUCCAAC